rnacentral:rRNA from 1 species
GACGAACGCUGGCGGCGCGCUUAACACCUGCAAGUCGAGCGAGAACCGGGCCUUCGGGCCUGGGGAAAGCGGCGAACGGGUGAGUAACACGUGGGUAACCUGCCCUCGGCACCGGGAUAGCUCGGGGAAACCCGGAUUAAUACCGGACGGCCUCCGGAGCCUUCGGGCGCCGGAGAAAAGGUGGCUUCGGCUUCCGGCUGGGGAUGGGCCUGCGGCGGAUUAGCUUGUUGGUGGGGUAACGGCUCACCAAGGCAACGAUCCGGAGCUGGUCUGAGAGGUCGAUCAGCCACACUGGGACUGAGACACGGCCCAGACUACUACGGGAGGAAGCAGGGGGGAAUCUUGCGCAAUGGGCGAAAGCCUGACGCAGCGAGGCCGCGUGCGGGAAGAAGGCCUUCGGGUUGUAAACCGCUUUCAGGAGGGACGAAGCCACUCGGGUUAAUAGCCCAGAGGGUGACGGUACCUCCAGAAGAAGCCCCGGCUAACUACGUGCCAGCCGCCGCCGUAAUAC